rnacentral:rRNA from 1 species
UACGUAGGGGGCGAGCGUUGUCCGGAUUCAUUGGGCGUAAAGAGCUCGUAGGCGGCUUGGCAAGUCAGGCGUGAAAGCCCCGGGCUCAACCUGGGAACAGCGCUUGAGACUGGCACGCUCGAGUUCGGGAGAGGAUGGUGGAAUUCCCAGUGUAGAGGUGAAAUUCGUAGAUAUUGGGAAGAACACCGAUGGCGAAGGCAGCCAUCUGGACCGACACUGACGCUGAGGCGCGAAAGCGUGGGGAGCAAACAGG